GCCUGUGUGGCUCAGUCGGUUAAACAUCCGACUUCGGCUCAGGUCGUGAUCUCACGGCUCGUGAGUUCAAGCCUCACCUCGGGCU
rnacentral:tRNA from 1 species